GUUUGUAAAGAGAGAGAGAGGAGAGGAAAAAAAAAAUCUCUUCCAAAAAAGCACCGGUCUGCAGAUGUCUGCGAGAGAACCCACGAACCCUCCUUCUUCUACGGCAGGGCAGUUCCUACCUAGAUGGGCCCAUGAAACCUAUGGUACUGGAGAUGAAGUGAUGCCUCUGAGUUAUUCGGCAUACUUCUGGAAAAGCACACCCACUAAGCCAGCUGCGGCAGGUCUGCCCAUGCUGUGGACAGCUGAAUGUUGGAGCCAAUUGCUGAUCCACCAGUGACAACGAAGAGCUCAGUGCUGCAUGGGCUGAAGCCAGCAUGAAACAGUAAAAAACGAAGACAAACCCUCACUACGUUCACUUCUGUGGCCUUAUAUGAGUUUGCCAGAAUACCUUCUCACCCUGCAUCUCAUUUCUCUGUCAAGCAGUCUCCUGAAACGUAAAUUCUUUGCUUGUCCCCGUGAUAUAAAAUUUUACUUUAUUUAGAAUGUUUGACUCUAUUUGCAGAGGCAGGGUAAAAAAGCAUUUUAUUUGUGCUACGAAAUGAGAGAGUGGAGCAAGCUUCUGCAAGCAGGCUGAUUUGUUGAGUCAAAUUUAUACUCUCAUUUUGAGUGUGGAGCUUAUACCAUUCUUCACUUCACAGGAAAAGAUAUACUUUACGCUAAUGCAUAGUAAUCUCUGUACAAUCCCAACUCACUUUCUCUGCUUUCAGCCACACCCUAGUGGGAAAUUUCUCUGAGAAAUUAACAUGGGAAUUGGCUCUUAACUGCAUUUUCAAAUAUAUUUGUCAGUUAAUUUUUUUUGUACUGGUAUGACAAAGAAAUUAUACUACUUACUACUAAUAGAUCUGUGAUAACAGAUAAAACCCAGACACUGAAAACUCCUACAUGUACUACUUUCCUAGUACAUUUUGAACACGAAUUCAGUUAAAUGACUCUUAUUUUCAAAACACAUUUUAAAUUGGAAAAGUGAUGAGUGAAAAAAAAAAUAAGGCAUUGUGUUUAAAAAUCUAAAAGGUGGUGUGUUGUUUUCACCAAAUAAUAACUAUUAAGAGUGAAGUUGGCUAUAUAGAGUCUUGCACUAUUUUUAUUUUUUUGUGAUCAGUAUAGUAGAGUGGUUGUAUAUAAUAGAUAAUGCCAGCUAUUUCAGUAUAGGUGUCUUACAGAAGCUGAAUAAAUAAAAAGUGACUUAGCUUCUAUUUACCUUGCAGCAGGUGAACAAAUAAGGUGACAGUGAAAUAAAUUAUUUUUUCCUGCCAGCUAAGCAUGUCGUCAAUCCUUCUUACUAAAGUAAUGAAGCAGGGAAACAAUAUUUUGUUUGCUUUUCACUGUGGUGAAGGAGUUUUACAUCAAAAAGGAAGAUAACACUUCAAAUUUAAGGAUAGCUGUGCCUUGGUAUUACAGUCUGCCUACUAAGUCAUGUACUGCUUUCUGUUUUAAAACAAUCUGAAACAGCUCUAGACUAUCCUGUCAUGAAUAUUGGCUCCUAGAAAUUGUUUGCAUAACUUGUAGAGAACAC